rnacentral:tRNA from 1 species
AAAGUUUUAAGUUAAUUAAACUAUUAAUCUUCAAAAUUAAAUAUAUAUAUAUGUUAUAAACUUUA